GUCACUUCGGGGACAUCCGAUAAAAUUGGAACGAUACAGAGAAGAUUAGCAUGGCCCCUGCGCAAGGAUGAUACAGCUUCAUGGUUUCUGCAAACAUUA